rnacentral:rRNA from 1 species
UGGGGAAUAUUGGACAAUGGGCGAAAGCCUGAUCCAGCAAUGCCGCGUGAGUGAUGAAGGCCCUAGGGUUGUAAAGCUCUUUUACCCGGGAUGAUAAUGACAGUACCGGGAGAAUAAGCUCCGGCUAACUCCGUGCCAGCAGCCGCGGUAAUACGGAGGGAGCUAGCGUUGUUCGGAAUUACUGGGCGUAAAGCGCGCGUAGGCGGUUUUUUAAGUCAGAGGUGAAAGCCCGGGGCUCAACCCCGGAAUAGCCUUUGAAACUGGAAGACUUGAAUCUUGGAGAGGUCAGUGGAAUUCCGAGUGUAGAGGUGAAAUUCGUAGAUAUUCGGAAGAACACCAGUGGCGAAGGCGACUGACUGGACAAGUAUUGACGCUGAGGUGCGAAAGCGUGGGGAGCAAACA